CCUACGGGAGGCAGCAGUGGGGAAUAUUGCACAAUGGGGGAAACCCUGAUGCAGCGACGCCGCGUGAGUGAAGAAGUAUUUCGGUACGUAAAGCUCUAUCAGCAGGGAAGAAAAUGACGGUACCUGACUAAGACGCCCCGGCUAACUACGUGCCAGCAGCCGCGGUAAUACGUAGGGGGCAAGCGUUAUCCGGAUUGACUGGGUGUAAAGGGAGCGUAGACGGCAGCGCAAGUCUGGAGUGAAAUCCCAUGGCUUAACCAUGGAACUGCUUUGGAAACUGUGCAGCUAGAGUGCAGGAGAGGUAAGCGGAAUUCCUAGUGUAGCGGUGAAAUGCGUAGAUAUUAGGAGGAACACCAGUGGCGAAGGCGGCUUACUGGACUGUAACUGACGUUGAGGCUCGAAAGCGUGGGGAGCAAACAGGAUUAGAUACCCUUGUAGUC
rnacentral:rRNA from 1 species